CAGAUUGUUUAGAGCACUACAUUAAUUGUUUCUUUGACAGAAAAAGGAGAAGGGAAAGAAAAACAGCAGUAACUUCAUUUAGUUUGGCUGUUCUCAUGACAUACUAAAAAGCUGGAAGAAAAAAAAAAACUAUGUUAACCCCUGGAUGCUGCCUUUGAUGCAUAGAACUUCAGGGAAAAACAAAAACAGAAAACAUAUUGCUAAAAUGUCUAAUCCCUUUGUUCGGCAUUCCUUUAUGCAAGUUGGGAAUCUCCUUUAACUUGCCUUCAGUAGGAAGUUAAUCUUUGAGAGAUGUAUGCAAUUUAAUACUGCAGUAGAAGAGGAGUUGAAUGCUGAACUUGGUGCAGAGAGAGAUUUUAAUUCCGAAGCAACCAACAACAUGGGAUGAUCAUGGUACUCUGAAACCUAUCUGUAUAUUUAUGUAGAUGUGUACUUCCAGAUCUCUUAUUGGCUAUCUUUUCUCCUACACUAAAUAGAUUUAUUGCUCAUAUUUGAGACCAUCACACUAGUAUUAUGCUGCACAAUUGAAUGCUAUGUCUGUCAAGGAAUUAUUAGUAUGUAUUAUUGAUCCAGAAAGACAAAUUUAUUGCUCUAUUUGAAUGGAGAGAUGGGGAGAGAGACGAAAAGUUCAGCGGGAAAAAUAAUCUUCUCUCAUUUGUCUAGAAAUUUGAAAAUAGAAUGGAGGAAAUGGAGGGAAUAUUUCUCUGGAGGCUCAUUUUCCUCCUUGUUGUAAAGCAGUGAGAAAGGAAGAUACAUAAAAAUACCACAUGUUCUUCUUCCAGAGUUAAAUGGAUCCUCUUAUUUAUUCCGAAUGUUUUGGAAUAUUUUUUCUAAGGGAAAGGUAGUUUCGUUUAUUUUUUGGGAUAUUGAGUACUAACCAUCUAGCGUUCUGCCAUAUGCGCUUGAGACGGUGAGUAGAAAUAUACCAAAUAAUAGCCGGUUGUUUCUAAUAA